rnacentral:rRNA from 1 species
ACGCUCGACACCUACGGGAGCAGCAGUCGGGAAUAUUGCGCAAUGGAGGAAACUCUGACGCAGUGACGCCGCGUAUAGGAAGAAGGUUUUCGGAUUGUAAACUAUUGUCGUUAGGGAAGAUACAAGACAGUACCUAAGGAGGAAGCACCGGCUAACUAUGUGCCAGCAGCCGCGGUAAUCUGAGGCGGGCUGGCAAGGC